rnacentral:lncRNA from 10 species
CUGGGCAACAAGAGUGAAACUCCGUCUCAGACAAACAAACAAACAAACAAACCUCCAAAAAACCAAUGUCAAUUUAUUGUGAUAAUUAACAUGUCUCUUAUGGGCAACAUUGUCCUUUUUUAGCCUUUGCCCUCAAAUAAAAAAAUUGUUAUGUAGCAAAAACAACCAUUUCCAGAUGAUGCAAGAGUUCAAAAUGCUGGCCUGAAGAAGUCUAUGAAAAUGUCAAGUCAUGCCUUUGCGAGGAGAUAACUACUUGGCAUAUACCUUUCCCUGAAUGAUAAAGAAGGAAAGAAAAAAUGUACUUCCAGUAAACAUAUUCAUUAGCCACAGAGAGCUGCAUAUAAACAUGAUGCUUGGAAAACAAAUGCUCUGCAGUAAAUGGGAAUUGAGAAAAUAGGUAAUAAGUUGCAAAUCUGAAAAUCAUUUCUUUAUUUCAAUGUAAGGUAAGUUUAUAAACAGUCAGACCAAAAGGUCUGCUUUUAAAGUUUUGCAAAUGCUGGUCAGAUUGAUUAGUCCUUUUUUGAAUUUUUUUUUUUUUUUUUGAGACGGAGUCUCGCUCUGUCGCCCAGGCUGGAGUGCAGUUUUUUAAUCCUAAAGCUUUUUAAUUUAAGGCUUUUUAAUUUUCAGUUUGCUUACUCCAUUCUUUUGUAAAAGAAAAAAAUCACUUUAGAUUAAAUGAAAUUGUAAUUAAGGCUUCUACUUCCAUUUCUCACCUUACGAGCUUAUCUUCUGGAUCCCCCACUUAAAAAACAAAGUUCCCUUUUCAUUUAAAAAUUAAAGAAACUCCUGGGUUAGUACUUAACACAAACAAACUAAUAAUUACCAUGUAAUAGAAGCAACAGGACAAGCUCACAGUAAUAUUACAAUGCAGGAGGUAAAAACUUGGGCAACAUAGAAAGAAGGCUCCGUUUCUUAGUCUGUAAAUGGGGACAAUAAAUAGCUGCCUCAUAAGGCUGAUGCUGGGAUCAGUCAAAUGAGAUCAUGCAAAGCACCCAGCACUGGCUAACACUCAAUAAAAAAAUAGCCAUUAUGAUCAUUAGGAAGAUAUAGGAAGAGACUUUUGUCAUUGUCACAGUUUAAUCUUGAAAAGGAACUUACUGUAUGGUAGCAUUCUGAGUCAGUUACAAGAGAAAGUAACAAGUGACCUGCAUUGCUGAGGAUCCUGCCUCCUCCAAGCUACCCUGCUACAUUGUUAAAACACCCUGGGGGAGAAAAGUAUCCUAUUCAGCCAAUGUUAAACUGUUUCCUUUUCUGAAAGUUAGAAAUAGAUGAAAAUAGCAUAAGAAAUAACUCUGUAUAUAGUAAGUUCUGGGUAAGACAAUAUUGUGGUAAGUGAACUAAACAAAGAUUAAUCUGAAAUUGGACUCUGAUCCCCAAGUGAACCAGCCAGUGUAGCCCAGUCCUUACUGGACCUGAGGAGGAAAAACAAGCCUGUGUCUAUCUCAAGCGUGAUCUGGCUAGAUAUGAUCUAAACUUUGAAAAGUGCCUAAGCAUGUUUCAGAUGCAUAUUAUGUGUUAAAUACUAAGCAGGGAGCUCUGAGCUGGGGCAGUGCACCCUGAUGCUGAGGAACUGACAUAGGAAAAUGAACACCUAGCAUUGUAAUUUGGCCUUUUGCUAUUUAUUUAUUUAUUUAUUUAUUUAUUUUGAGACGGAGUCUCUCUCUGUGGCCCAGGUUAGAGUGCAGUGGUGCAAUCUCGGCUCACUGCAACCUCCGGCUCCUGGUUCGAGCGAUUCUCCUGCUUCAGCCUCCUCAGUACCUGGGAUUCCAGGCACACGCCCCCACGCCCAGCUGAUUUUUGUAUUUUUAGUAGAGAUGGGGUUUCACCAUGUUGGCCAGGCUGGUCUCGAACUCCUGACCUGAGGUGAUCCACCUGCCUCGGCCUCCCAAAUUGCUGAGAUUACAGGCAUGAGCCACCACGCCCAGCCUAUUCUCUCAUUUUAGUCAGACAAGUUUUCUUUUCUGUUAGAUCUCUCCCCAAUAAUUGCAAAAACCAACCAAAUAAAUAAGUAUGGGAGAGAGGUGGUUAUUUAUAUUAUGAAAGCAUUCUUCAGUUUAAUUCAUUGCAGAAUCUAAGAUCCUUUCCUCCACAGUGUUAAAAUCCAUAGCCCUCUCAAUUACUCUUCCACGCUUUGAGGAAAAGGAAGACAGGGAGGAGAGAUCUCCAAUGGAAAUUUCCUUGUUAAUAACAUCUUAUGUUUCUCUAAAUGUUUUACAGUUUCAAAGCACUUUCAGACUCACUCUGGUAUGUUAGUUAAGCCUUGUGCAAGAUACCAUAAAUCAUAUUAUACUCAAUUAAGAGGUGAGAAAAGACAAGGCUCAGAGGUGAAGCAAAUAUAAAUAGUAGUAAUUAGUUUUAUAUAUAUAUAUAACUAAUAUAUAUAACAUUCAUAUAUAUAUAUAUAUAUAUAUAGAGAGAGAGAGAGAGAGAGAGAGAGAGAGAGAGAGAGAGAGGGCGCAAUUGGUACAUGUGAGACCUGAAGCCAAGAUUUUUAAACUAAGUCCAGUGGCCAAGAAGCUGAAGCAAGUAGCUCACACUCACUGCCUUGGUGUUGCUGUUUUUCCUCCCUUCCGUGAUUUGGUUCUAAGCAUCUUCCCUUUUUUUUCUCAGUUAAUUCUGAUUCAUGACUUCCCUCAUGUAAUUAAUAAAUGGGAAAGACUUGAGUGAACAAAUAUUCAGCCAACUAGUAUUUAUUGAGCAACAACUAGAAACCAGAACUUUGAAGGGUUUUAAACAAAGGAAAUGGAAUCUCUUUGUCAUUUAAAAGGCCACAAUAAAACAAAUAAAAGUAAAAAAUAAAAAAGACCAUAGUGAGGAGGGUGCAGUGGCUCACGCCUGUAAUCCCAGCACGUUGGGAGGCUGAGGUGGGCAGAUCGCCUGAGCUCAGGAGUUCGAGACCAGCCUGGGCAACAUGGUGAAACUCCACCUCUACUAAAAAAAUCCACAAAUUAACCAGGCAUGGUGGCAUGCAACUGUGGUGGUUACAGGUACUCAGGAGGCUGAGGCCGGAGAAUCCCUUGAGCCUGGGAAAUGGAGGCUGCAGUGAGCUGAAACAGCACCAUUGCACUCUAGCCUGUGCAACCAAGCCAGGAUUAAUAACUUUAUUGAUGUGAACCAAUUAUCCAAAAAUAAUAAUCACAUAUUAGCCAUAGCGGACUCCCCAGCUAGAUGUUUUCUGCCUGUGUUUGUAAAUCCUGGACAUAGUUAAAUUUCAAGUGCCUUCAAUAAGAAAUCAAUGGCUUGGAAAACAUCUCUGCGCAGUCUUGAUAAGAUUUCUAAUUGUGGUGAAGCCUCAUUCCUUAAAUUAUUUAUUCAACACUAACCCAUUCUACAAACUUACAUCUGCUGGGCUCUGGGAGUAACAAGAUGAGUUAGAUGCAGCAGUCCCAAAUCUAAAGGAGGUUGGAGACUAGAAAGACCAGUGCCUGCUCUGAGCUCUCCAGUGGUCCCCAGCCUCUCAGUCAGGCCUCACAGGCCCCUCUGCCAGAGGCGGAACCAGCUUGCCUCCGCUCUGCAGCCACACUGGCCUUUUCUUUCAUUUCUGAGAACUCUCCUCACUCCCUCCCACUUUGGGCUCUGCAGAAAUCCCAGUUCCCUUUGCCUUGAAAGCUCUUGGUCAAUUUAGCUCCUCCUCCUUCAGCCCUCAGCUCCUGCCUUGCUGCCCCAAUAAUCUUUUUCUGACUGCAGAUCUGGUCAAAUCUUUGUCUGAAACCUUAGAGCCCAUUACAUUUGUAGUUUUACGUGUACACGUGUGAUCAUUUAAUAUUUGACGGUGUGCUCUCAGGUGCCUACGCUCCUGGAGAGGCAGGGGCUGACUGGUUUUGUUAGAUGCCAGUGCCUGACACACAAUAGGCCCUCAAGGGGUGAAAAACCAACCAACCAAGUCAGGACCCAAGCAACCUGGGCCUCUGUGGAAGGGCAGAAUGGCCUGAGUUUGGGUUUCUCGAGCUACCUUAAGAUCAGGCCUCCUGGCUCCUAUCUUAGCCCUUCUAACACUCUGAAGUGUAGAGGUUGUUUGUUCCAAGUCCCCAAGGCCUUCACUCUCGCCUCUCCCCGCG